rnacentral:rRNA from 1 species
AGCGAACGCUGGCGGCAGGCUUAACGCAUGCAAGUCGAACGCCCCGCAAGGGGAGUGGCAGACGGGUGAGUAACACGUGGGAACGUACCCUUUGGUUCGGAAUAACUUGGGGAAACUCAAGCUAAUACCGGAUAAGCCCUUAUGGGGAAAGGUUUACUGCCGAAGGAUCGGCCCGCGUCUGAUUAGCUAGUUGGUGAGGUAAUGGCUCACCAAGGCGACGAUCAGUAGCUGGUCUGAGAGGAUGAUCAGCCACACUGGGACUGAGACACGGCCCAGACUACUACGGGAGGCAGCAGUGGGGAAUAUUGGACAAUGGGGGCAACCCUGAUCCAGCCAUGCCGCGUGAGUGAUGAAGGCCUUAGGGUUGUAAAGCUCUUUUACCCGGGACGAUAAUGACUGUACCGGGAGAAUAAGCCCCGGCUAACUUCGUGCCAGCCGCCGCGGUAA